CUCCGCGAGCAAGACGAGCUGCGAUUGGGCGAGCGCAGCGCAAGUCAACUGCGCUUCGCGCCGCAGACGGCAACCAAUCAGAAACCUCCGAAGAAACGGCGCGCCGUAUGCAAAUAUUCCUCCGCGCGGCGCGCGCCCUGCGUUCCUCCGCCUCUUUAAACGGGGCGGGGCGAGGUGGAGACCGCGUGUGUGGUUCCGGGCGGGCCCGGGUCCGCGCUCCCGGGACCUUCCCCGGGUGGCACCACAUCCUCGCGGGACACUGGGCACCACCCCUCUCCGUGGGCCCCGGCCGUCUUUAUCUCCUGCGCCCUCCCAGUUCCCUAGUUCAAUCCCGUCCGCGGCGGGUCGGUGCUUCCAGCACUCCGUGCGCCCGCUGAUGUGAGAAACCCACCUCCCGUGUCGUCCCCUCGCGCUAUUCCUUGAGAACGUCGCGGGGGGCCCCUCCGCCUGGGAGCCGUUUUCAACCAGCCUCGUUAGUGGUUGGGACCUAAGUCUAACAACCCUUGCUCAUCCCCCAGGUCCCGGGUUGGAGAACACUUCCUCUGCGAAGAGGUCGGGGCUGGGUCACCUCCGCGGACACGACGGGACUAGCCACUUCCUGCGUCUUCCCCCACGCCCUGAGCCCCGUAGUGUCCCAGCAGCCUAGUUCUGGCCUGCGGGAGACCCUGUCGGACAAGGAGGAAAAGCAGUGCGCACUGGGCCCUCAGAUCAGGCCCCUGAAGCAGAGCAGGGCAGAGGGCUGGGGAGGAGCUGGCCCGUUUCGCCCGCCCUGUUCUCCCUCUCAUGGUGCCCUCUGGGCUGGGGUGAAGGUACCAGCCCCAGCCUCUCCACAUCACAUUUUGUAGAAAGGCAUCCGAUUUGAUUGGAAAAUAACCCCUACGCUGGGACUUUUAAGGCUGGUUUAUUUCCAUGUUCAACCAUGCCAUUGGGGGUCUUCAAGCCUAAUGUGCAUUUUUUUCGGAAACGUUCUCUUUUUUGGGGUGAGGUUACUUUUGAAACCAUUGCUAAUUAUUAUUGUUAUUAGCAAGUUAUUCCUGUAAUGGGGAAAAUUUGAAACCAUCUAAAGGUUCCUGGUUGAGGGAUUAAGAACAUAGCGUCGGUUAUAAACCUCAGAGGACUUGCACCUUUGGAGCUAUAGGGUGCUGCAACAGAAAUCAGCCACUCUGAAGCCGCCAAGCUGGAGAGACCACACAGAGAUAAAAGGUGCCCAAGCAGCCCUAGUAUGGGACCCAGGCACAAACUUAGAGAUGACUCCAUCUGCCUGCAACUGAAAACCAAUCAGCUGAGCCCAGUCAAUCCAGAGCCAUGAGUUAUUAACAUGAUCGUUGUUGUUUUCAGCCCUGAAGUUUUGGGGUGAUUUGUUAAGUGGCAACAGAUAACUGGAACAUGUUUGUUUUACUUUGUUUGAGGGACUUUUCUUUCUUGCUGGUUGAAAUUUUUUUAUAUAUAAAACACUGACAAGGUUCAAAGUCAGACCUAUCAAUA